CCUACGGGUGGCAGCAGUGGGGAAUAUUGCACAAUGGGGGAAACCCUGAUGCAGCGACGCCGCGUGAGCGAAGAAGUAUUUCGGUAUGUAAAGCUCUAUCAGCAGGGAAGAAAAUGACGGUACCUGAGUAAGAAGCUCCGGCUAAAUACGUGCCAGCAGCCGCGGUAAUACGUAUGGAGCAAGCGUUAUCCGGAUUUAUUGGGCGUAAAGGGAGCGUAGGCGGCCUGCCAAGUCUGAUGUGAAAUACCGGGUCUCAACCCCGGGGCUGCAUUGGAAACUGGCAGGCUGGAGUGCCGGAGAGGCAGGCGGAAUUCCUAGUGUAGCGGUAAAAUCCGUAGAGAUCAAGAGGAAUACUCAUUGCGAAGGCGACCUGCUAGAACAUAACUGACGCUGAUGCGCGAAAGCGUGGGGAGCAAACAGGAUUAGAUACCCCUGUAGUC
rnacentral:rRNA from 1 species